rnacentral:misc_RNA from 1 species
AACCAUAGAAACCUGCGGAGUACCUGCGGAAGGAUCAUUACCGAGUUAGGGUCUUUAUGGCCCGAUCUCCAACCCUGUGUUUAUUAUACCAUGUUGCUUUGGCAGGUCUGCCUUUCGGGGCUGCCGGGGUCUUUGCUGCCCCUGGCGUGCACCUGCCAGAAGCCUUCUUAAAUUCUGUGUUGAAUUGUGUUGUCUGAGUCCCAAUAUUAAAUUAUGAAAAACUUUUAACAAUGGAUCUCA